rnacentral:misc_RNA from 1 species
CUCUCAUGUACAGUACAUACAUAUAAGUAGGGCGGUUAUGGAUAAAUAAUGAGUUUACUUGCAAGAAAAGCACACCUGCCACGCAUGCGCUUCAAAAAUGGUGCUCCUUAAAACCAGCAUUGACAGGAACAUUGUCAGUAUCACACUUUCAAAACAGCUUAGAUUCAAGGGAUUCAUCGAUGAAAUGCUGAUUUUAAGAUGAAGCAAUCUGUUGCAUUCUAAUCUUGGUGCUGGCAAUUUUUGGCAUUCAAUCAUGAGGAGGAAUGAGUAUGUGAAUUCUUACACAUGCAUUCGGGAACUGGAUACUUUGUGACAUC